GCCUAAAGCGUCCGUAGCCGGCUCUGUAAGUUUUCGGUUAAAUCCAUAUGCUCAACAUAUGGGCCGCCGGGAAUACUGCAUAGCUAGGGAGUGGGAGAGGUAGACGGUACUCCGUAGGAAGGGGUAAAAUCCUUUGAUCUAUGGAUGACCACCUGUGGCGAAGGCGGUCUACCAGAACACGUUCGACGGUGAGGGAUGAAAGCUGGGGGAGCAAACCGGAUUAGAUACCCGGGUAGUCCCAGCUGUAAACUAUGCAAACUCAGUGAUGCAUUGGCUUGUGGCCAGUGCAGUGCCGCAGAGAAGUCGUUAAGUUUGCCGCCUGGGAAGUACGUACGCAAGUAUGAAACUUAAAGGAAUUGGCGGGGGAGCACCACAAGGGGUGAAGCCUGCGGUUCAAUUGGAGUCAACGCCAGAAAUCUUACCCGAAGAGACAGCAGGAUGAAGGUCAAGCUGAAGACUUUACCAGACAAGCUGAGAAGUGGUGCAUGGCCGUCGCCAGCUCGUGCCGUGAGGUGUCCUGUUAAGUCAGGUAACGAGCGAGAUCCUUGCCUCUAGUUGCUACCAUUACUCUCAGGAGUAGUGGGGCGAAUUAGCGGGACUGCCGUAGUUAAUACGGAGGAAGGAGAGGGCCACGGCAGGUCAGUAUGCCCCGAA
rnacentral:rRNA from 1 species